rnacentral:tRNA from 1 species
GAAGGUAUAGCUCAGUGGUAGAGUGUGUGCUUAGCAUGCUCAAGGUCCUGAGUUCAAUCCCCAGUACCUCCA